UACAGAGGGGGCAAGCGUUGUUCGGAAUUACUGGGCGUAAAGGGCGCGUAGGCGGCCCGCUAAGUCGAACGUGAAAUCUCCGAGCUCAACUCGGGAACUGCGUCCGAUACUGGUGGGCUUGAAUCCGGGAGAGGGAUGCGGAAUUCCAGGUGUAGCGGUGAAAUGCGUAGAUAUCUGGAGGAACACCGGUGGCGAAGGCGGCAUCCUGGACCGGCAUUGACGCUGAGGCGCGAAAGCUAGGGGAGCAAACGGG
rnacentral:rRNA from 1 species